UUACGACCACAUCACGUUAAAACAACGGUUCCUGUAAGAUCACCGAGAUUAAGUAACGUGGAACCUGGCCAGUACUUAGAUGGGUGACCACUAGGGAAUAUCAGGUGCUGUAAG